GAAACCCUAGUUCUAAAUCCCUAAUCAGAAACCUAAUUUCCCUUUCCCCAGCCCUGAAGCACGCAGCCCACCCCCUUUCUUCCUAAAACACUAACACAAAAAACAAAAGAAAGAAACGCAUAAAUGGAAAGGGAGAACAGAGAGCUUGGAAUCGGAGAAGAGGGAGCCAUACUCUGCGCCGUCCAGCUGCUCGCCACGCCGUCGAUGUCGUCGGGAAAAGAAGGAUGCAUGUGAAGGAGGAGCGCGACCUGCUGCGAGAGGCCAUGCGCUGUUGCUGUCACUGAAGCCCGCCAUCGUCGUCGCAAUUGAUGAAGCCACUAACGACGCCCCUGUCGCCGCUUGAAGGGGAUUUCAUCACCGCCAUUUCUGCCACUACUGACGAGCACGAAGGGAGAGAUAGGAGUUCAUAGAGAACAGAGACGUGACGAGGAAGAUAAGGGCUCGUAACACUGCCGCUGUUGCUGGAGACGGAGGUUGCUGUCGAGCUACACGCCGUUGCCAUCAGAGGAAGCUGCUGCUAUUGUGUGUACAGAGAAGAGGAGCGUCACGAGAAUCAAAGGAAGAAGACGCUGUCCCGCCGCUGCUUCUGGUUUCUGGAAUCGGAGAAAACGCCACUGCCGCUGCUGUUUGUUGGGUUCAAGAUCGCUGAUGCUGUCCUGGAAAAAUGCCCAAAAAUAUUUUUGUUUCCGUCUAGCCAUCAUUAUCACGAUUAUUGAUGACAUCGCUGCUACAGAGAGUCAUUGGCACCACUGUUGCGAUUGCUGCCACGAACUAGGAAAUAAAGGGAAUUGAUGUGUUAGAUCCUGUGAUUACGACAUCGAGUGACACAGGUUUGAAGAUGCAAUAUGAAGCUGCAAACGAUUAGUAGGUUUUCUUUGUGGUUUUAAUUGCUUUCAUAGAGUCCCCUCGCUCUUGUCCUUUGAGGUUUUAUUUUAACAGAGGGGUAGGUGUUGUAUUUGGGUUUAUAUGACUCCUUAUGUAUAAGAAUUACUAUUAAUAAUACUUAUGUGAUUGUUAUUAUUAUUUGCAAUGUUUAUCCUUGAUAGAUGUCAUUAAUGAAUAAAAACAAAAUUUUCUG